rnacentral:rRNA from 1 species
CAGUAGCCGCGGUAAUACGGAGGGUGCAAGCGUUAUCCGGAUUCACUGGGUUUAAAGGGUGCGUAGGCGGAUCUGUAAGUCAGUGGUGAAAUCUCCAGGCUUAACCUGGAAACUGCCAUGGAUACUAUAGAUCUUGAAUGUUGUGGAGGUUAGCGGAAUAUGUCAUGUAGCGGUGAAAUGCAUAGAUAUGACAUAGAACACCAAUUGCGAAGGCAGCUGGCUACACAAAUAUUGACGCUGAGGCACGAAAGCGUGGGGAUCAAACAGGAUUAGAUACCCCCGUAGUCCCUGUCUCUUAUAC